rnacentral:rRNA from 1 species
CCUACGGGAGGCAGCAGUGAGGAAUAUUGGUCAAUGGACGAGAGUCUGAACCAGCCAAGUAGCGUGAAGGAUGACUGCCCUAUGGGUUGUAAACUUCUUUUAUAAAGGAAUAAAACGAGGCACGUGUGCCUUUUUGCAUGUACUUUAUGAAUAAGGAUCGGCUAACUCCGUGCCAGCAGCCGCGGUAAUACGGAGGAUCCGAGCGUUAUCCGGAUUUCUUGGGUUUAAAGGGAGCGUAGAUGGGUUGUUAAGUCAGUUGUGAAAGUUUGCGGCUCAACCGUAAAAUUGCAAGUGAUAAUGGCAGUCUUGAGUACAGUUGAGGUAGGCGGAAUUCGUGGUGUAGCGGUGAAAUGCUUAGAUAUCACGAAGAACCCCGAUUGCGAAGGCAGCUUACUAAACUGUGACUGACAUUGAUGCUCGAAAGUGUGGGUAUCAAACAGGAUUAGAUACCCGUGUAGUC